rnacentral:rRNA from 1 species
GUAGGUGGCAAGCGUUGUCCGGAAUUAUUGGGCGUAAAGCGCGCGCAGGCGGGUUCUUUAAGUCUGAUGUGAAAGCCCACGGGCUCAACCGUGGAGGGUCAUUGGAAACUGGAGAACUUGAGUACAGAAGAGGAAAGCGGAAUUCCACGUGUAGCGGUGAAAUGCGUAGAGAUGUGGAGGAACACCAGUGGCGAAGGCGGCUUUCUGGUCUGUAACUGACGCCGAGGCGCGAAAGCGUGGGGAGCAAACAGGAUUAGAUACCCUGGUAGCCCACGCCGUAAACGAUGAGUGCUAAGUGUUAGGGGGUUUCCGCCCCUUAGUGCUGCAGCUAACGCAUUAAGCACUCCGCCUGGGGAGUACGGCCGCAAGGCUG